GACGAACCGUGCGAACGUUGUUCGGAUUCACUGGGCUUAAAGGGCGCGUAGGCGGGCGGUCAAGUCGGGGGUGAAAUCUUUCCGCUUAACGGGAAGCGUGCCUCCGAUACUGAUCGCCUCGAGGGAGGUAGGGGCAUGUGGAACUUCCGGUGGAGCGGUGAAAUGCGUAGAUAUCGGAAGGAACGCCGGUGGCGAAAGCGACGUGCUGGACCUCUUCUGACGCUGAGGCGCGAAAGCUAGGGGAGCAAACAGG
rnacentral:rRNA from 1 species